CAGCAGCCACGGGAAUACGGAGGGGGCUAGCGUUGUUCGGAAUUACCGGGCGUAAAGCGCACGUAGGCGGCUUGGUAAGUUAGAGGUGAAAGCCUGGAGCUCAACUCCAGAAUUGCCUUUAAGACUGCCGAGCUAGCAGGUGAGAGAGGUAAGUGGAAUUCCGAGUGUAGAGGUGAAAUUCGUAGAUAUUCGGAAGAACACCAGUGGCGAGGGCGGCUUACUGGCUCAUACUGGACGCUGAGGUGCGAAAGCGUGGGGAGCAAACAGGAUUAGAUACCCCAGUAGUCCCUGUCUCUUAUAC
rnacentral:rRNA from 1 species